rnacentral:tRNA from 1 species
UAGAUUUUAGUUUAUUGUAAAAUGUUUGACUGUUAAUCAAAAGAUGCUGUUUUUUGCAUGUCUAG